GUUUACUUUUUCCGAUUUUGGCACUUGGAAUACGUCCGGGGCAUCUAAAAAUGCUGGCAAGGACUAUAAUUUUGACCCAUUUCUAAAGUUGCUCCGACAACUCGUCUAUUCGGCCCGAAAAUACAGAUACUGGCGUCGGUAAAAUUUUUGUGAAAUGAAGAUACUUACGCGAAGCCCACAUUACUAGGAGUUAGAAUAUAAUUUUUAUGAAAUUAAAUAAGCUCAUUUAAAACUUGAAAAAACACUGCAAAAUCUAUGAGACCCAUCAGAUUUUCGAUGUUGAAAAAUUUUAAAAUUUAUAUCACCGCG
rnacentral:misc_RNA from 1 species